CACUCUUCCACCUAGGAGCCAAUACACAGAAGUUAAGGGUUUAAAAAAAAAAAAGAAGAAACCAUUGGUCACUGUAUUAGGGAACUGGAUCACAACUGCUGGGGAAGUCCAUUGUGCUUGGAUUUAAACAAUGUUGUAUAUCAAACAGUAAGGAUGGUGGUGAAGAUGGUGUUUUGUGAGAAGAAGAGGGUGAAGACGAUGACUCCAACGACGAUUCCACUUCGGGAGAUGAGGAAACAGAAGAGGAAGGGGAACAUGAUUCAACAUUGGAAGGUUCUGGAAGUUGGAGUUCCUGAACUUUCCACUUGCUUCUGCUUCUGCUCCAGGAGCCGCAGAGAGGGUCACCCCGUGGGAGGCGUCCCCUGAAGGCACCGCCUGAGCUGUGAAAGCAUCUUUGCCGCCCCCCCUUGGAGCUAGCGGGAACUUGGAGGAGGCAGAAAUGGCUUCAGGACGCCUACC